rnacentral:misc_RNA from 1 species
GAACGCACCUUGCGCCCAUUGGUAUUCCGAUGGGCAUGCCUGUUUGAGUGUCUUGAAAUCAUCAAGCCCGUUCGGUUUCACCGCCGAGCGUGGGUUGGACUUGGGGGCUUGCCGCUUCGCCGCGGCUCCCCUUAAAUGCAUCGGUUUCGGGUCUCUGUGGGAGUAACCCCUUGGGCGUUGUAUAACCCUCGCUGUCUGGGAACUCCACGCGACGUCCGCGUCGUUGAAGGGCCUUGAAGAAACCUCGACCUGCUGUAGAGUGGCGGUCAUUGUUAAAUCGAAAUCUGACCUCAAAUCAGGUAGGACUACCCGCUGAACUUAA